AAGAAUGCUGAUCUGAUUUUCUGAGCUGUCAAUAUGUUUCAUUAACUAUCAAACAGUUGAGUUUUCAAGACAUCUUCAUUAAGGUUAAGCAAUUGACUAUCAAUCAAUAAUCUUUUAUGAAAGAAGAGAUGGUGCAGCACACGCAUGCCCAAUAUUAAGAGAGAGAAGACAUUUAUUGAGGCAAGCAGCUGGAGUGGACCUGCCCCCAUCACCAGGCCAGCUUCCCACCUGCACGUGCAGCUCUUUCUUCUUUUGCAGGAGGCUUGCUCUGCUCAUUAGACAUGCAACAAAGAGCUGGCCUGUGGAGCACACAUCCAUAUUCAUAACUCAAGUCAGCUGGAAAGUUGUACAUUUUUCUUUCUGGGAAAUCAUGGCGACAAAGACUGAAGACCCAGGCAGCACAAACGUGAAUGAUGGUCUCUCAGAAGAACAACAAAGACUGAAGUGAGUAUAU
rnacentral:lncRNA from 1 species